rnacentral:tRNA from 1 species
GGGGAUAUAGCUCAAUUGGUAGAGCGCUGCUUUUGCACGGCAGAUGUUAGCGGUUCAAGUCCGCUUAUCUCCA